rnacentral:rRNA from 1 species
UACGGAGGGUGCAAGCGUUAUCCGGAUUUACUGGUUAAGGUGCGUAGGUGGCAGAUAGUCAGCGGUGAAUCUCCGGCUUAACUCGGAAACUGCCAUUGAUACUAUUGUCUUGAAUAUCUGGAGGUGAGCGGAAUAUGUCAUGUAGCGGAUGAAUGCUUAGAUAUGACAUAGAACACCAUUGCGAAGGCAGCUCACUACGGAUCAUUGACACUGAGGCACGAAAGCGUGGGGAUCAAACAGG